UGAUGACGCUGGCGGCGUGCCUAAUACAUGCAAGUCGAGCGAACGGACGAGAAGCUUGCUUCUCUGAUGUUAGCGGCGGACGGGUGAGUAACACGUGGAUAACCUACCUAUAAGACUGGGAUAACUUCGGGAAACCGGAGCUAAUACCGGAUAAUAUUUUGAACCGCAUGGUUCAAAAGUGAAAGACGGUCUUGCUGUCACUUAUAGAUGGAUCCGCGCUGCAUUAGCUAGUUGGUAAGGUAACGGCUUACCAAGGCAACGAUGCAUAGCCGACCUGAGAGGGUGAUCGGCCACACUGGAACUGAGACACGGUCCAGACUCCUACGGGAGGCAGCAGUAGGGAAUCUUCCGCAAUGGGCGAAAGCCUGACGGAGCAACGCCGCGUGAGUGAUGAAGGUCUUCGGAUCGUAAAACUCUGUUAUUAGGGAAGAACAUAUGUGUAAGUAACUGUGCACAUCUUGACGGUACCUAAUCAGAAAGCCACGGCUAACUACGUGCCAGCAGCCGCGGUAAUACGUAGGUGGCAAGCGUUAUCCGGAAUUAUUGGGCGUAAAGCGCGCGUAGGCGGUUUUUUAAGUCUGAUGUGAAAGCCCACGGCUCAACCGUGGAGGGUCAUUGGAAACUGGAAAACUUGAGUGCAGAAGAGGAAAGUGGAAUUCCAUGUGUAGCGGUGAAAUGCGCAGAGAUAUGGAGGAACACCAGUGGCGAAGGCGACUUUCUGGUCUGUAACUGACGCUGAUGUGCGAAAGCGUGGGGAUCAAACAGGAUUAGAUACCCUGGUAGUCCACGCCGUAAACGAUGAGUGCUAAGUGUUAGGGGGUUUCCGCCCCUUAGUGCUGCAGCUAACGCAUUAAGCACUCCGCCUGGGGAGUACGACCGCAAGGUUGAAACUCAAAGGAAUUGACGGGGACCCGCACAAGCGGUGGAGCAUGUGGUUUAAUUCGAAGCAACGCGAAGAACCUUACCAAAUCUUGACAUCCUUUGACAACUCUAGAGAUAGAGCCUUCCCCUUCGGGGGACAAAGUGACAGGUGGUGCGUGGUUGUCGUCAGCUCGUGUCGUGAGAUGUUGGGUUAAGUCCCGCAACGAGCGCAACCCUUAAGCUUAGUUGCCAUCAUUAAGUUGGGCACUCUAAGUUGACUGCCGGUGACAAACCGGAGGAAGGUGGGGAUGACGUCAAAUCAUCAUGCCCCUUAUGAUUUGGGCUACACACGUGCUACAAUGGACAAUACAAAGGGCAGCGAAACCGCGAGGUCAAGCAAAUCCCAUAAAGUUGUUCUCAGUUCGGAUUGUAGUCUGCAACUCGACUACAUGAAGCUGGAAUCGCUAGUAAUCGUAGAUCAGCAUGCUACGGUGAAUACGUUCCCGGGUCU
rnacentral:rRNA from 1 species